CCCCUCAGGAGAGACCAGCUCUGCCCCCAACCCCCUCUGCCAACUGAUGCCUCCUACCAAAAACAGCAGGCCUAUGGGAUUUCAGGCCUCCCCUCCACGCCCAGGUAGGUAUUAAAGAGAGGGAAACCGGGGCAAGCAGGCUGGACACCAUGCUCUUCACCAAGACUGUCCAAUUUGUGGUGAAUUUUCUUCUGUCCUGGCGAGGGGGGUCUGGAGGGAGGGUGCCGACGGGAUAAAGCGUACGGCCCUAGCAGCACUUGGGAAUUUGGAAGGCAGGGAUGGGGGGGCCGCUCCAAUAUCCCCCUCUACCCCUCUGAAUGGACCAAGAGUAACCUCGACCAUGGUCGAUUCGAGGCGGCACCUCCUUCCGCCCGUCACACCCUCCCCGAGAGAUCUCGGCCCGGCUCCCCUCCUCAGGAGGCCUCGGGCCACGCCCCUGCAGAGCUGGGACCAGGAACUGUGUUUCUGCGGCUGCCGGGGCCCUGCCUUGCCGGAGCCCGCCGCCCGCCGCAUCCUGGGUGACUACUGGCUGAGUCCGCAGCGCCACGGCCCACCCAGCGCCGCCUAGGGGCUGGCCGUCGGCGCGCAGGAUUGAGCUGCUGCCUGGGGCCACCGGCCCGGCCGAUGUGCAGUCGCCGAGCUGGCCCGCUGGCCACGGCGCGCGCCCGCACCUCACUUGGAAGCACCGAUGGCAGAAUAUUAACUACCAGUUCCAGAGCAAGAGGAAGAGACACCUGGUUUUCCUGCGCCCGUGAGAGCCGGUAGGGGGCCGGCCAAGUUGUGGUGGGCGGGGAUUCUGGGGCGCGGCCUAGCUGCUGUCGGGGAGGGCAAAACAGAGCCGGAGAUUGCACCUUUGCGGUUUUGAGCCCAUUGCCCGCGUUUGGGAACCAGGAUAGAUCGCAUCAAGGAACAGCUUGCAGCCCCAGAGCAGGAGUGAUUCCAGCCCAAGACAUAGUGGUCAAGAUGAAUGACAGAAGGGAAGGAAAGCUGCCCUGGCAUCAUCCUGUGUGUUCCUGUGUUCGUCACAUCUCUGUGCGUUUCUUUUUCUUUUGUGUUUGUUUUUUUUUGGUUUUUUGAGACAGAGUUUCGCCAUGUAGUGCAAGCUGGCCUUGAACUCACUAUGUGACUCAGGCUGGCCUCGAAACUCGCAGCAAUCCUCCUGCCUCAGCCUCCCGAGUCCUGGGAUUACAGGCAUGCACCACCAUGCCUGGCCUCUGUGCAUUUCUGGUCAGAAACACCCUUUGAAGCACUCUCUGUGUGUCCUCUGAUCUGUGUUGUUCAACAAAUAGUUAUCAAGGUCCUGUUUUAGUGGCUUAUGCCAGGUUUAUACACUGAGUUAACAGCUAGGUUCACAUCAGUGAAACAAACCAUUGAGGUCCUUGCACCUCUGGUGGGGAGACAGGCCAUAAAAAGGGGUCAAAAGGGCCGGGGAUUUAGCUCAGUGGUUCCGCCUCUUGCCUCAAAAGCAAGUUUGAUCCCCGGUACCAAAAAGGGGUCAAAGAUGAAUGGCCUGUUGUGUUGGAGAACAGGACUGGGUCAGGUGCUACUGCACAUGGGAUGAGCAGCGACUGUCUCUGGUCACAGUCUACAACAGUGCCUGACAUGUAGUGGGUCAGUACUGCGGACCGAGAGCACAGGUUGGUCAGGAGGUCCUUUCUUAGAGGUGCAACUUAAACCAGGCUUGGAGGAUGCAAGGCCAGCCAUUUCCAGCCUCUGGGUGGAGGGAACAGUAUACAUCUGGCUAGUUUUGCUGCCCUGUGGAAUCCGUGUUGCCAUGUCUCUGUCUGCCUGUUGUCUCUGUGGUCUAGGGAGCCCUGGGGCAAGUCUAAUUAAGUUCCAGAGUCCCUGGAAGUGAAGUCAUUGCUGAGCUCCGUUCAUUCACUGCAUGACCAAAUCUGGCCUUACGAGCUGGGCCCCACCAUUUCCCUGGAUGCAGCCCCUCCCCCGACAGCAUCAGUCCCAUGACCUCUGGCUCCUUCCCAGGGCAGCACCCUGCUGUUAGGAAGGAAGUCCUUCCCUCCUGUCUAACCACAGUCCCCACUGAGGCAACCCCAGACCUUUCCUCUCAUUCUGCCAUGUGGGAAGUGGGGAGGAAAUGUGCUGACUGUGGGAGCUGGCUCUGCCUGACAGAGUCUGGUAGACCCAACACCAGGAGGGUGACAACCCCUGGCAACCCUAGGGAGGCGAACCUCAAAGGACAGAGACAAUUGCUCAUUUUAGGAGCCUCUGUCAUAUCCGUUAUCUCAUCUAAUCCAUCAACACCCCACUUUAUGGACAGAAACUCAGGCAGGUGCAGAGAUGAAAACAGUGGCAGAACUGGAACCAGAACCCAGUUGUCUUGGUAAAACAGUAAUGAUAUAACUAACAUUUAUGUUAUCCUUACUCUCUUCAGGUACUGUGCUAGAACUUCGUGUACAUUUUGUCCUUCUUCUUCCUCAUCUCUUUCUCCUCUUUCUUCUUCUGGUUUUUGUUUUUGUUGUUUAUUUGUUUUCAGACAGGGUCUUCGUUUGCAGUGCAGAUGACCUUGAACUCACUAUGUAGCCCAGGCUGGUUCUGAACUGUGGCAGUCCUCCUGCCUUAACCUCCCAAGUGCUGGGAUAAUAGGUGUGUGCCUCCACACCUGGCUUAUAUUUCUUCUUUCAGCCUCAUCUGUGUGGGUUGUGCCAUCAGUAUCCCCGUUGUACCCAGGUGAGGAGACUGAGGCUCACAGCCAUUCAACGACUUGCUGGAAGAUACCAGCUAGUUCAUGGCAGGGCCAGAUUUGAGCUAAGGCUGUCUGGCAUGCUCAGCGAUCCUCCCUGUGCCCUGGGGUUCAGGAGAAGUGUCACAGAUGUCUGUUUUUCAGGGAUUUGGGGACACAGGCUUCAGGCUUUUUGCAUGAUGAUCCCGAAGCAGACUUGCACCAUGCCAAGGAUGAGCUGGAAGGAGUGCUGAACAAUUCAGUGCCCCCUGUCUUCAGAUUAUCUGCCUUAUCUCCCUCUUGGGGUCUCUGAGAUCCUGCCCUUCACACUCCAAAUAAAUGAGCUUCUGCCUCUCUGGG
ensembl:lncRNA